rnacentral:lncRNA from 1 species
GCGAAAUCAGCCACACGCCGGCAGCUUAUUUUUAAUUGCUUCCAAAUACGCAUCCUAAUUACGACGCGGGUCUAAAUCGGAGGUGAUGGCAGGAGCCGCGCGGCGGCUUCGGGGACACGAGGAGUGAGGAUCACACGCUCCCGUCCCACAGCCGCCUCGGGGACCCCGAGUCCUCGCCUCCCGCCCAGUGUUUUGUCUCCUCUUGUAGCUGCUCUAAUAACUACAUCAGGCCAGAGCGCGGAGCGCGGAGCUGACACCUUCCAUAAAGCCGCCGCGGAGAUCGGGCCCCGGGGAGGCCCGGCUGACGGACAGGAGAGAAAUGGAACACGGCGUGGAAGCGGCCGGCGCGUCCGGGCGGCGCGGGUGGGAGCGGGCACGUGUGCGCAGGCGCCGCGCCAUCCAGGAGCUGCCGUCACCCGAGGGCGCCUUCCCCACGCACCCCACUGCGGCGGCCCCGGGUCACCCCAGCCCGCCCGCGUCGGUGGCCGUCCAGCUAAGGCCUCCUGGCACCGCGAGCCUUAGUUUGCAGCGGGCGGAGGGCGGCCUGGCCCGCCGAGCUCAGCAGCACUGACAUCAGCAACAGGAAGGCCGGAUGCGCCAUCAGAGACGGCGGGUCAGAGGUGCGGGAACGAGAGGAGGGAGGAGGCCGGCGUGUCCUGCGUCCCCACGAGGGCAGAGCGGCCCCCAGGCCCAGGACGCCCCUGCUUUCUCCACGGGGUUGGAGAGUCACGUGGGACCCACCUGCCGACUGUAUGCAAAGAGCAUUCCUCCUCUGCCGCCCGCGGGUGGGGGGGGGCACCGAGUCUGACCUUGAGCAUCCUAGUUGCUUAGGAGCGAGGCGGGCCCUGCUGCGGGCGGGGAGUGCACGCCACCCCCCCCCCGCCCCGUCCAGAAUCGGACACCUCCCAGGGCACACUCUGCGGGUCCACAUUAGCUGUGCUCCCUGGGGGAUUCUCAGGGCAGGUGCCCCAUAGUCCAAGUUGGCUGCUUGCACCCCACCCAUCACAGCUGCAUUCUGGCAGCAGGAAGUAGGAAGAGAGAAAAGCGACCAAAGGGACGGCUCCUCUCCUGCAAAGAGACGCCCUGGAAGUCCAGCCUAUCACGUACGCUCCCCGCCGACUGGCCAGGACUUAGUCACACGGACGCACCCAUCUCUGGGGACUCCCUCAAGAGCCUUGGGGGAACUGAGGACAUGGAAUAUCUGCAUUUGUAAGUGUGGGAGCAGGUCCGGGGCCCCAGCGAGCCCCUCCUGUGCCCCAAUCACCCCGCCAGAAAGCAAAAUAGUCGAGAUGAGAGCCCUCCGCCCGCCAUCGUAGCUCAUGCUCUUCGCCGACACACCGUUUCCCUGAGUCCCAGCCCAGCUUCGCCCCCCAGCGCCAUGUGGCCCUGGUCCCCGGGCCCCGAUUUCUGUGCCUCUACAACAGGAGUCGAAUCAAUGGCCUCCCACCGAGGCUUGCAGAGC